GGCCAGCAUUUUUUGAAAUUUCGAUUUACAAACCCGCCGACCCUAUUUUUUUUAAAAAUUCAAAUAAAAAUAAUAGGACCAGAACUAGCUAUUAAUUUUAUUUUUUCCUCCGACCCGAAAUUUUCUUUCUGGUAAAAAUAAAAAUAAUGUUGAUGCAAUCACGUACGUGUAAUCUGAAUUAUUGUUUUUCAUGCAUUGAUUAAAAAGACCAAGUUCUUUCCGAUCAAGUCACAGGCACUAGAAGUCACAAAAAACACCAUUGGGCCUACUCCUGUUUGCUUUCGUCCAACCCUACAAUUUACGACCCUAUUAAGUUUUGUGAUCGGCAACUUAGCCAGAAUUUCCUCAAGAAAGAGAAGUUGAAGUCUUUUACUAUCACAAUUCCGUAAAUUAAAAAAAAAAAACCUCAUUGGCGCAAGAAAAUGAUAAGUUACUUAUUUAAAAAAACAUUUUUUGCAAAAUAAAUUCUAAAAUAAUCAUAAUUUAACCGUUUGGAAAUAGAUCCUCUACAUAACGGUUGUAAGUGGGUCAUAGGGUUGGACUAAUAACCCUAAACAGACUGAACACAGGAACCUUAUGACUGAAGGAAAGAGAAUGAUUUUAUUUGUCAUUAAGCUAACAAAAUAACGAAACAUUUCCUUUAUUAAAGGUAUAAUUACAUAAAUAAAUAAAAUUUUAAAAAUUAGUUCGUCUUUUUUAAAUAAAAAAAACUUGUUUGAUUUUUUACUGACAUUUAUGGACAUGCUUCUAAUCCAAUUUAUUUUCAGUAACAAUAUUUUAUAUUUUGAAUUUGUGAAUAGCAUUGUUAACUUAAUCAGAUGAAUGAUUUCUCAAACUUCUUCCUAUUUUUCUGCAAGGAAGAAGUGAAAACUCCCUUAAUUUUUUUGGUCUUAAUGUAUAGGUACAGUAUGUACUUGUAUAUAUAUACAUGUAAUUAUAUA
rnacentral:sRNA from 1 species